AUUGAACGCUGGCGGCAUGCCUUACGCAUGCAAGUCGAACGGCAGCACGGGAGCAAUCCUGGUGGCGAGUGGCGAACGGGUGAGUAAUGUAUCGGAACGUGCCCAGUCGUGGGGGAUAACGUAGCGAAAGCUACGCUAAUACCGCAUACGAUCUGUGGAUGAAAGCGGGGGACCGUAAGGCCUCGCGCGAUUGGAGCGGCCGAUAUCAGAUUAGGUAGUUGGUGGGGUAAAGGCCUACCAAGCCGACGAUCUGUAGCUGGUCUGAGAGGACGACCAGCCACACUGGGACUGAGACACGACCCAGACUCCUACGGGAGGCAGCAGUGGGGAAUUUUGGACAAUGGGCGCAAGCCUGAUCCAGCAAUGCCGCGUGCAGGAAGAAGGCCUUCGGGUUGUAAACUGCUUUUGUCAGGGAAGAAAUCUUCUGGGCUAAUACCCCGGGAGGAUGACGGUACCUGAAGAAUAAGCACCGGCUAACUACGUGCCAGCCGCCGCUGUAA
rnacentral:rRNA from 1 species